rnacentral:rRNA from 1 species
GACGAACGCUGGCGGCGUGCUUAACACAUGCAAGUCGAACGGAAAGGCCCCUUUGGGGGUCCUCGAGUGGCGAACGGGUGAGUAACACGUGCGUAACCUGCCCUUGACUUCGGGAUAACUUCAGGAAACUGGGGCUAAUACCGGAUAGGAAUCCUUGCUGCAUGGUGGGGGUUGGAAAGCUUCGGCGGUUUUGGAUGGACUCGCGGCUUAUCAGCUUGUUGGUGGGGUAGUGGCUUACCAAGGCUUUGACGGGUAGCCGGCCUGAGAGGGCGACCGGCCACAUUGGGACUGAGAUACGGCCCAGACUCCUACGGGAGGCAGCAGUGGGGAAUAUUGCACAAUGGGCGGAAGCCUGAUGCAGCAACGCCGCGUGCGGGAUGACGGCCUUCGGGUUGUAAACCGCUUUCAGCAGGGGCGAAGCUUGUGGUGACGGUACCUGCAGAAGAAGCACCGGCUAACUACGUG